UACGAAGGGGGCGAGCGUUGUUCGGAAUUACUGGGCGUAAAGGGCGCGCAGGCGGCUCUGAAAGUCAGAUGUGAAAGCCCCGGGCUUAACCUGGGAAUUGCAUUUGAUACUCUGGAGCUUGAGUGUGGGAGAGGAGAGUGGAAUUCCCAGUGUAGAGGUGAAAUUCGUAGAUAUUGGGAAGAACACCGGUGGCGAAGGCGGCUCUCUAGUACGUGACUGACGCUGAGACGCGAAAGCGUGGGGAGCGAACAGG
rnacentral:rRNA from 1 species